rnacentral:rRNA from 1 species
UACGGAAUGUGCAAACGUUAUUCGGAAUCACUGGGCUUAAAGAGUCCGUAGGCGGCAUGUUAGGUGAGGUGUGAAAUCCCCCGGCUCAACCGAGGAAUUGCGCUUCAAACCGGCGUGCUUGAGGAAGAUAGAGGUGGGCGGAACUGAUGGUGGAGCGGUGAAAUGCGCAGAUAUCAGGAGGAACACCGGUGGCGAAGGCGGGUCUCUGGGCCGAUGACUGACGCUGAGGAGCGAAAGCGUGGGGAGCGAACAGG